CGUUGUUUAGUUACGUUCAAUAAACGUAAGUUUAUGAUGGUUACGCAGAAUCACAAACCGUAUUCCCAGCAAACGAACUGUCUUCGUUUAAUUUGUAAUUUAUUGCGUAAUUGAAUUCGUAUAAUAAAAGUGAAAAGCACGCAUUAAUUAGUUACUUUGCAAUAAGAUGUAUUCCCGUCGGGGUUGUUACGCUGUUUACUCUCAUUAAGUUCGUCAUCACCUAAAAAGAGGAUUACGCAUCGAAACAGGUGCGCUAAUUAUUACUUUGGAAGUUCCUUGGGAAUUUCCUGAAGUUCACAAUUUAAAACUAGAAACUGAUUUUAAAAGGUUAAUUUCCACCAAUCCGGUGUAUUUGGUCAAAACAUGGCGGAUGUCCCAACUACCAAUGGAAAAUAACACCACCAUAUGACCACACUGUCUCUAUAGACUAGGUACGUUCGGCAGUUUAUAAUAAAUUCAUCUUGGAAACUAAAAUUAUAGUUUAGAAAUUUAAAAAAAAUGUGAAACUACGUGUCUUGUGUCGGCCACCGUUUUUGCUCAAUGUUAACCAUAAUUGGAUGAUCGAUUUAUGGGAACAUUCACAACAAAAUUGUGGAAGUUGUCCAAACCGUACGCAUCAAUUGCAUCGAAAAAAUUAUGCAUGCUUAAUGUGAGAAUGACAGUAACAGAAUGAAUACACAUUUUUUAUUAUUGGGCCGAAAACCACGCCUGUGGAUGAUAACUGCAAAUGCCACACAAACGCAAGGCUUAUAACGAGGGGUACUUCUAUUUAAACUUCAAAGCUUUACAUUCGGCCGGAAAGUUAUCAUUUUCCGGCCUCGGCCGGCAAAAAUUACACUAAAAAAUGGUUGGUAGAACUGAGAAGUGAGAGACGAUUGACAGACGAUUUUUGGCAACUGUCACUUCCGCAUCAAACUGGGUACCUACUCUUGUUUGGAUUGCAAUUGUAUUUAUUACCUAAAAAACAAACACCUUGGAUGCUAAAUAAUGAUACCUACACCACAGAUUAACUAAUCUGCACCUACACCAGAAUGAUGAAAAAAUUCCCAAACUGAAACCAGUAUUACUACAGUAAGUGCAGGCUCCACACCGAACAUUACGUUUUCACUUUACAGAUUUUAUUGCUAUACACAUUCGUUGCUACCUGAUUGUUAAUUUAUCCUGUGGAGAUAACUAAGAGUAUAGAAAUGGACUGAGAUGUUCUUAGUCGUUACCACUGUAAAUUGGUCCAGCUUAGCCCACAAACACAAAUUUGAUGCGGCAUUGUUUAAAAACCGGUGUGGAAUGAUAGUGAAGUACCUGCUGACGUUUACCGAUAUUGUGGAUGGGAAUUUUCAGUCACUGCAUACGGCGUACCUACAUUCUUCAAGAAGUUGACAUCAUAACGUAGUUUAUGAAUUGACCAGAGCGAUUGAAAUUAAAGGCAGCAAGUACAGUGCAUAAGGGCUUAGUUUUAUAAUUAUUAUUCACUUGUAAUAACUAGACUUUGACCUUAAGAAGUCAUAUUACCUUUUCUGUAACAUAUGAUCUUUGGUUUAAGGUUAUCCUAUAUUCUAUUUUUAGGUUAUAAUGAAAGUGUGUAACUACUAACUAGACUAUUUUCUAAGUGUGUACGUAAUAGCGACAAUCAAAAUAAAUUAUUAGUUCACGUAAAUGAAAAUACUAGCAAUACUGGAAAAUAAAUUUAAGAAGAUAACUGCACAUUUUGAAUAUGCGUAUUAGAAGCACAGCGACGAGAACUGGUAAUGGGGGUUACAAUCAAAGUCGAAUCUACCCCUUCGUCUUCAUUAUCAGUGGAAACAGGGUCCAUCCUUGUAGACUGCGUGGCUGAACUGGUUUGUCCUACCAACUGAUUUGCAAUCGCAACCCUUGCUUUUAGGGAAUCCUCGAUGUAGCCCUCUGCGCCCGCUGUGCUUUUCCAGCCACCAUGCUGCUUGAUUGUAGUGAUAUUAGCCCCUCGGCCUGCUAAUAAAGUAGCACUACUACGCCUGAAGCAGUGUCCAGUAUACGAGCCAAGAUUCUCUAAUUUAAGAAAAGUUGCAAUUUUGGAUGGAAUGCUCCCGAAAGUAUGGAUGCCAACAGUUCCUGGUGGACGUAAAGAUUGGAUGGAUGACAAUUAGAUCCCCACGAUCUUUAACAUCUUGAAUCGUCAUUUUGGCCAAUUAUCAACGCUACCUAAAAACGAAAAUGGGUUGAAAACAAAAAAGGGAAGAGAACUAAGGACUAGUUUACUUUAAUUAGGAGAUAGUCUUCAUCUCGAGCUUCGGUACAAAACCACAAUUCGUCUUUUUGAGGAAAGCAGCUUCGUGUAGGUUUGGAUAUUGACAUUAUGCCGAGCAUUAUGCUUAAUAUUUAAGGUAGAUUUUAGCAUUGAAAAGUUGGACCAUAAUGUAGAAGCUUUGAAGCGUCUUCGAUUUAUGUUCAAAAUAGGCCAAUAAAACAUAUUCGUUGUAGUUAUUUUGUAUGGAAUUCUCAUUGCACCACUUCAUAAAAUUGUCAUACUCCAUCCAGUAUCGGAAAGCGGACUUACUUGGAAGUAAGUCGUUUAUGACUUUUUCAGCCGCUUCCUUGAUAUGAGUGGGUACCUCCAUCUUUUGCAAAUUUAUAUAUAUGUAAUUAUUAAUGUAUUUAUGUAAUUAUAAAUAUAUAUAUAUAAUAUAAACUUAAAAAAC